rnacentral:lncRNA from 1 species
CCAGUGACACUGUCUGAAGGGACUUCUCUGACUGUGAACUGUUCCUAUGAAACCAAACAGUACCCAACCCUGUUCUGGUAUGUGCAGUAUCCCGGAGAAGGUCCACAGCUCCUCUUUAAAGUCCCAAAGGCCAACGAGAAGGGAAGCAACAGAGGUUUUGAAGCUACAUACAAUAAAGAAGCCACCUCCUUCCACUUGCAGAAAGCCUCAGUGCAAGAGUCAGACUCGGCUGUGUACUACUGUGCUCUGGGGGGA